UUACAUACCCCGUGGAUGUGUGCGAAGUGGAUCCUGUAAAGUUCCUCUCACCUCUGUGUGACUCUCCUGUAGUCCCUGAACCGUCGCCACAUUUCCCCGUCAGGACCUGGUGAUCUGAACCCGGUCUCAAAGGGGGGGCGCAGUCAUGUUCCGACUCCUCAGUCGCCAAGGUAAGAGGACGCAGAGCUGCCUCGCGGGCCAGCGGCGCUAUGAGCACCACAGGGCCAUCAUGGCCAUCCGCCGCGAGGACAUCAACCCCUGGGAGAGGAGGGCGCCGCUUGCCCCGCGCCACAUCAGAGAGCUCACCAACGCCGGCGUCAAAGUCCUCGUCCAACCGUCCAACCGCAGAGCCAUCCACGAAAAGUACUACAUGAGGGCGGGCGCCGUCGUUCAGGAGGACAUAUCCGAGGCGUCCUUGAUCCUCGGGGUGAAGAGGCCGCCAGAGGAGAAAGUCAUCCCCGGGAAGACGUACGCCUUUUUCUCCCACACCAUCAAGGCUCAGGAGGCCAACAUGGGGCUGCUGGACGACCUGCUGAUGAAGGACGUUCGUUUGAUCGACUACGAGAAGAUGGUCGAUGCUAACGGCUACCGAAUCGUAGCGUUCGGUCAGUGGGCCGGUGUCGCAGGAAUGAUCAACAUCUUGCACGGUCUGGGUCUGCGCUUCCUGGCUCUCGGGCACCACACACCCUUCAUGCACAUCGGCAUGGCUCACAACUACAGGAACGUCAGCCAGGCCAUCCAGGCAGUGAGGGAUUGUGGGUAUGAGAUCUCCAUGGGGCUCAUGCCCAAAUCAAUCGGCCCUGUCACGUUUUGUUUCACCGGCACCGGCAACGUCUCCAAGGGAGCCCAAGACAUCCUCAACGAGCUUCCUGUGGAGUACGUUGAACCUCACGAGUUGAAGGACGUCUCACAGACAGAAGAUAUGACCAAAGUGUACGCCACCGUCCUGAGCCGACACCACCACCUGAUGAGGAAGAGCGACGGCAUCUACGACCCCAUGGAGUACGAGAACCACCCGGAGCUGUACACCUCGCACUUCAGGACCAGCGUGGCGCCGUACACAACCUGCCUCAUCAACGGUAUCUACUGGGACCCUCACACGCCUCGCCUCCUCAGACGGACGGACGCCCAGAGGCUGAUCAGACAUUCAAAACACUACGCCGGGUCCGCAGAGGGAUUCCCAGUGCUUCCUCACAAAAUGCUCGCCAUCUGUGACAUCUCGGCUGACACCGGGGGCUCCAUCGAGUUCAUGACUGAGUGCACCACGAUCGAUAAGCCUUUCUGUAUGUACGACGCCGACCAGCACAUCGACCACGACAGCGUGGAGGGAACCGGCAUCCUCAUGUGCUCCAUCGACAACCUCCCCGCUCAGCUCCCCAUCGAGGCCACAGAGUACUUCGGGGACCGGCUCUUCCCCUACAUCUGGGAGAUGCUUCCUUCGGACGCCUCACGGCCGAUGGACGAGGAGGAGUUCAGCCCGCAAGUCAGAGACGCUGUCAUCACCUCAAACGGAGUCCUCACCCCAAAGUUCGAGUACAUUGAAAAGCUACGAGAGAGAAGGGAGAAAGAUCAGAUCAUGAAGAAGAGCGGGAUGAAGCGAGUUCUGCUGCUGGGUUCAGGAUACGUCUCCGGACCCGUGGUCGAGUAUUUGACUCGAGAUGAGCAGACUCAGGUCACUGUGGCGUCUGUGAUUUUGAGGCAAGCAGAGGAGCUGGCGGCCAAAUAUCCAAACACCAUCCCCGUCACACUGGACGUCGGCAGCCAGGAGGGACACCUGGACUCUCUGAUUAAGGAUCAUGACUUGGUCAUCAGCAUGCUGCCGUACUCCUUCCACCCUCUUGUGGCCAAACACUGCAUCAACAACAAGGUGAACAUGGUGACAGCCAGCUACCUGAGCCCUGCCAUGAAGGAGCUGCAGAGCAGUGCAGAGGAGGCGGGUGUCACCCUCGUGAACGAGAUGGGAUUGGACCCGGGGAUCGACCACAUGCUGGCCAUGGAGUGUAUCGACCAGGGCAAAGUAGACGGCUGCACGGUGGAGUCGUACAGCUCGUUCUGCGGCGGUCUUCCUGCUCCCGAGUGCUCAGAUAAUCCUCUGCGCUACAAGUUCAGCUGGAGUCCGUACGGCGUCCUCCUCAACACCAUCAGCCCCGCCAUCUUCCUCCAAGAGAACGAGGUGGUGAGCAUCCCGUCAGGCGGCUCCCUGAUGGACUCCACCGUGCCGAUGGAUUUCCUUCCCGGUUUCUCCCUGGAGGGAUUUCCAAACCGUGACAGCACCAAGUACGCCGAGCCGUACGGCAUCGAGACGGCGCACACGCUGGUCAGAGGGACACUGCGCUUCAAGGGAUUUUCAAAGGCCAUGAGUGGGUUUGUCAAGCUGGGUCUGAUCAACAGUGAGCCCCGACCAAUCCAACACCCAACAUCCUGGAAAGACCUCCUCUGUAAGCAGAUGGAUUUAUCCCCUUCGAUGUCCCAAGAGGCUUACGAAGAAGCCGUAUACGAGCGCAUUGGAAAAGACGACUUUGGGAUGGACAGUCUGAGAUGGUGAGACUGGAAAGUCCUGAAACACCUGAACAUGUAGAAGGCGGGUAUCCUAGAGAAGCUGAGAGAAGUGAUUCUCGGAGUGAAGUUAAGUUGAAAAAGGUGUUGAGUUUUUGGCGCUUAGUGUUCAUGUUGUGGAUCGAACAAGGCCGAGGCUGCUCCUCUUCUGCACUCUUUUCCCUUUCCUCCCUAAUGAGGACGCCUGAAGUGGUGUAGCGUGCACACUCUUCAAUUUAAAUCAACUUUUCCAAGGGUCUCUUCAGACCAAGGCUCCGCGCUGCCAUUGUUCCGCCGCCGCUGCCGCCGAGGCGAAGAGGGCCGCGCUGGCAUUGAAACGUAAAUUCCUGCAACGGUAAAAGUGAACUGUUGGAAACAUUCCAUUUGUGCCGUUAAAAGAGUAAAAAGCCAACGCGCUCGCAGCUCAAAUUGAAUGGCUUGUUGUUCAUUUAAUCAAUUCACCAGCAGAGCAGAGACAAAAAAACAACUGCUCAUCUCUUUAGAUUUAGCCAAGGAUGCGUGGGCCGCCACCGCCGCCGCCGCAGCGCUGCCAGGGUGUUAAAGCAGAAUCAUUUUCUUUUGAAGCUUUGAAAAUGACUUUGUGAAGGUUAUUCUAUUAUGAGGAAAGUCUUUUUUUUGUCUCCCUCUCUCUCUCUGUGUGUGUAUGUGUGUGUGUGUGUGUGUGUGUUCAGGUUUGGGAUGCUGAGCGAUGACCUGGUGCCUCCAGCCGACAGCGUGCUCGCUGCUUUGGCGAAACACCUGGAAGUGAAACUCUCUUUCGAUAAAGGAGAGCGAGACAUGAUCAUCCUGAGGAACGACGUGGGGCUACGCCACCCGACCGGGGAGCUGGAGACCAAACACAUCAGCAUGGUGGUGUACGGCGACCCCACCGGCUUCUCCGCCAUGGCAAAGACUGUGGGAUACCCGGCGGCCAUUGCUGCUCGCAUGUUGCUUAAUGGUGAAAUCACCACGAAGGGGCUCGUGGUUCCGAUGACGAAGGAGGUUUACGGCCCGGCGCUGGCCCGGUUGAAGGAGGAAGGGCUUCACUUUAUAUCAAAGAGCACCCUGCAGGAGUAGAUCAUCACUGUCAGUCACACAACGCCUGAAAGAUAAGACCAGAUCCAUCGCUGUCGGCGACUUUACAGCUAAUUAUCCACACUCAGCCUUUUGACGGGUUCAGAAUGACCCGUCUGAAUGUAGUCCGUGUUAAAUUAUGUUCUCACUGCCCAGGGUUCUGAUGAAAGGAGCACUUGUUUUCUAUUUGUAGAGUUACUGUGAGUCAGGUGUAAAAGCUCAAAUAAAGGAAAAAGCCAAAUAGGUCAAAAGGAUGAAUCCCAAAAAGUUAUUUUAAUCACUGACCGCCGUGUAAAGACUGUUUGUUGAUCAUUUAAACCCUCGCUUUAAAAACGUCCUGAAGCUGAAAAUGUGUAUCUCGAUGUUAGCAUCCUGAGUUUGGCGUAAACAGAGAAAAGUUCUUCUGUGAAGAUUUGUACAAGGAUUUUGGCGCCCCCUUGUGGAGAAAGUGAUACCGCAUCUCUUCGCUGAUUGUGUCCCGUUCACGUGAGAAAGUUGUCUGAAAAUGAUCAGUGUGGCCAGUAACAGAAAGGAGGCGGGGUUAGAGUCAGACGUCUACGUUUAAAGUCCGAAUUCUGAGAUCGACGUCGCACUUUACGAAACACGAUCUCUGAGUUUAUUCUGAUGUCUGAAAAAGUCCGAACUCUCAGUUUUAAGGCAGAAUAUUGAGUCUAAUUUAAAGACUUCUGCGUUCUCAGUGAGUUUAAAGCUCCUGUGAGGAACUUCCUGUUUGUGUUGAGUUUGGCGCCCCCUUGUGUUCACGUGUGAAAAGUGUUUCCUGAAGUCGAACUUUAACACCCGCUGUGAAUAUUAGCUUUGGAAGAAGUGAAAGGCUUUUUCCUCAACGUGCUCAAUCUUCUAGACUCACAUACGCCCUCUUGUGGCGGCUCCAAGCAUUACAAUAAAGAUAUCGGAAUUGUCCGACUUGUUGCUAUUUCUCUUCUUUGUUUUUUUUUCGUCAUUUUGAGGCAUCACUCUGAAAAUCUGUUUUUGUUAUAACCACGUAAAAAAAAACCUCACAGGAUCUUUAAGAUAAAUGUUCUUUAUCGUGGGUUGAAUACGUCCGUUUGCUUUUUGAAAGCUAGCUAAGCUAAUGUACGAAUUUAUGUAAAAAACGGGGAUCUCAACAAAAGCUAACGUUAACCUGUGUCCGUAUUUAUAUGACAAAAAAAAGGAACUCUAAAUUUACGACAAUCAAAAGAUUGCGAAAGACGAAUCUUAUGCUAGCUAGCAGCUGCCUGGAUGCCGCGCGAGCUAAACAUCCAGCAUUUAAACGUUUUCAUUUCAUCGUACGUUUUUUAACUUUUCUACCACAAAAGGCUCUAAAUGACGACUUUUUGAAUAUUUUUUGUUCAUGUCAUAUUGUGAUGCUAAUGUUAGCCUGUGCUAUUAGUGAAGCUAACGGUUUAACGUCUUGUAGUUUGACGACUACUUGAUGUAGCAGCUACGUACACGUUACGUGACAGUUACAGACCUUUACGUGACCUCUUGUCGGCGAAAUUGGCGAUUUCUUUACUCAAGGCGAUAUAACACGAUCCAGUUUUGAAUUUUUAUAGUGAUUUCGACGUGAAUAAAUGUCGUUUUCGUGACUUUUCUCGUCCAAACGCAAGAAACUGCUAAUUCCUGCUUAUUUCAAGUGCAAUGGUAUCUUCCUCAACUCAACAAGAUGCCGACUUCAGUCCCUUUUUUUUGUUUUAAUAACUGAAAAUUGAUCUAAAAAUCUUGCUUUGAGAAGUUUUAAAGAGUGGAUACUUCGUUUGUGGGAUCUGUCCGAUGAGUAUUUAUUUCCCGACACCUGAGCAAUAUUUAUUUUGGGGGGAGGGCGAUCUUGUUAACGGUUUGUUGUUCCAGGCUUUAAAGGGUUAAAAGAAUCCAGAGAGAGUUAUUUUACACGUACUGAGGAGGAUAUAUAUUUUUAAAGUAAUAUGUAGACCAGAGAUGUGGUUUAUGUGCCGGCCUGCAGAGUUCACAUUAAGGUUUGACACGAUCAGGUGAACGUCUGAAUGUGUGUUAUAAAGGGAACAACCCAUCAUCAGUGUGAGGGUCAGUCUCAUUAACCUCCUCAUAAACACGCUUCUUAUUUCUGUUCAUGUCAGAAAAACACAUUUCUUUGUAACAGCUUGUUUUGAUAGCUCUUUGAAUCGUGCUUUAUAAGAAUGUUUGAAUAAAAGUCCGUCUGUCAUGAG